AGAUAACUUCCUUGGAAUUGCAGUGCACAAAAAUUCGUGACAACUUUUCCAUCAUAGUUACUAAAAACGGACGAGAAGUGCCGUCCCUAGAUGGGCUCGAACCACCAACCUUCCAGUUAACAGCCAAACGCGCUAACCGAUUGCGCCACAGAGACUUAUAGUGAGAGUGUUCUCUAGGUGUGAUCAGUCAUGGGCACCUCCCAAACAGAUUCAUGCUUUGUAAUUAUUUGUAUCGCUGACAAAGCUUUCCUUGCUGUCGCUGCCGUUUUCCUUGCAGCCUUUCAUUCCAUUGUUAAUAUUCGCAUUGCUCUGAAACCAAUAUUGCACUUUUUUUCCUGAUGUGCAAUAACGGGAAUUCCUUCGGUCACACAGAUUAGUUAAUUUUUUGGAAACCUUACAGCAUCUCAAAGGAGAAGGAAAGAAAUCACUGGGUAUCCUCCUCCAGUUCUGCUGUGCCUACGUAAAACUGCCGAAAGGUGCUGAUUGCCGGGUAUAGCCGCCAGUACUCUCGCCUACCUGUGCUGGAACACGGUGAAUUUGUCAAUGAAUGUCACACAUACCCUGGAAAAAAAAAACUGAUUCCAGGAAUGUGGUCAUGACAAAUCAAAUUCCAUGGUGCCCCCCUCCUAACGACACCCGACAAAAUGCAUCGCAUUCAUAGAAUCGGUAAUGGUGUUUCCCAAAAGCGGGACGAGGGAUCCAAACGAAAGGGAUCGACGUCUCGAGAUUCACGAAAGGAAAAUACGAAAGAAAACAACAAGUGCCGGAAAUACGAUGCAACUCCGGUAACCUCUGUAGUGAGAAGUAACACUUCUUCGUAACGGAAACUCAGAGGCAGCUUCGUGAGUAUACAAAAGUGAAACGUGAACGGUGAAACACGUGUGGAACUAAGUGAGUGCAACGAAUUCGACAAUGCGGCGGCUUCCCGAUUGAAGGCAAAAUGUUAGACCUAAACACCUGCAGUUGUUAAAUCCAUGAUCGCCAUCUCCGGCCCGUCAAGCCCUCCCUCCGGAAGUCUCUACCCACGAUCUAACAUCUUUCGCAGUCUACAUUUUUAUUCUGGGUGUCAGCAGAAGUCGGAGACACCAAGUGGUGAAAAUUGGGGCAGGACUGAAUUACUACCUCGGCCUGAGACGCUAAGAGCUCCUGGUCACCUUAGUAAAUAUUUGCUUCCGCAAUUA